rnacentral:lncRNA from 1 species
GCCAAUGCUGAUGAUGCUUGGACCUCACUUUGAGUAGCAAAGGCCUAGAGGACCCAUUAAUGGGCUUCAGGUGAUAUUCAGGGGAGUUGCUGCUAGACAAAUGUCUUCAUUGCUAGGGUCCUCAUGCAGACAUGACGUAUGGAGCCAAAGUCUGAGAAACUGAUAGCAGAUUUUGCAAUUUGAUGCACAAAAUUCUACCAGUGGGAGAAGUCCUUUUGCUUUAGGAAUCCCUGUGGCAUGCAGGUUGACGUUUCCAUACUGUCCAUAAACUCCUGUCACAAGGGAAGUCAGCUUCACCCUGAGUGUUUAAGGAAUGCCACAGUCUCCCCACCCCCCCCCCCCCCCCCCC